UACGUAGGUGGCGAGCGUUGUCCGGAUUUAUUGGGUUUAAAGGGUGCGUAGGCGGCCCUAUAAGUCAGUGGUGAAAUAUCGCAGCUUAACUGUGAGGGUGCCAUUGAUACUGUAGGGCUUGAGUGAAUUUAAGGUAGGCGGAAUUGACGGUGUAGCGGUGAAAUGCUUAGAUAUCGUCAAGAACACCGAUAGUGAAGACAGCUUACCAAGCUUCAACUGACGCUGAGGCACGAAAGUGUGGGGAUCAAACAGG
rnacentral:rRNA from 1 species